CACGUAGUUAGCCGUGGCUUUCUGGUUAGAUACCGUCAAGGCGCUAACAGUUACUCUAGCACUUGUUCUUCUCUAACAACAGAGUUUUACGAUCCGAAAACCUUCUUCACUCACGCGGCGUUGCUCGGUCAGGGUUGCCCCCAUUGCCGAAGAUUCCCUACUGCUGCCUCCCGUAGGAGUCUGGGCCGUGUCUCAGUCCCAGUGUGGCCGAUCACCCUCUCAGGUCGGCUAUGUAUCGUCGCCUAGGUGAGCCAUUACCUCACCUACUAGCUAAUACAACGCAGGUCCAUCUUGUAGUGGAGCAAUUGCCCCUUUCAAAUAAAUGACAUGUGUCAUCCAUUGUUAUGCGGUAUUAGCUAUCGUUUCCAAUAGUUAUCCCCCGCUACAAGGCAGGUUACCUACGCGUUACUCACCCGUUCGCAACUCAUCCAAGAAGAGCAAGCUCCUCUCUUCAGCGUUCUACUUGCAUGUAUUAGGCACGCCGCCAGCGUUCGU
rnacentral:rRNA from 1 species